rnacentral:lncRNA from 1 species
AGUUUUGAUUUUCUUGCAGUCAGAUUUGUUACCACAUAACUAGCUUAGAGUUUGAGUUGUAAUAUUUUUAAAAAGAUUUUGUUGAGAUGACAGACUUUUUUUCAGUUCCACUAUUUUGUCUUUACAAAACAUUCCUUGAUAUGCAUCGAAUUUGGCAGCAUGCUUUUGCACAGAAUGUCUUCUCAAAUUGUAAUCUUUGAAAACUGACACAACUUCCUUACAAAUUAAGCUUAGUGCCUUAUUGUUUGUCUCAACAACAAAGUGCUCAUCUUUUGUUGAACACUCUUCCUUCAUCCACGAUUUUUUUUAGGUUCUAUUUUCUUUUGAGAUGACAGUAGGUAGGUUGAAAUACUAUUAUUGGUAAUCACUGCAUUUUACUCAGCAAGAGGCACAUGUGCAUGUAACAUGUAAUACACAAGUUUUGAUUUGAUUGCUUGUUUUUCAGUGGAACACAGGAGAAAAAGUGAUGUAGAAUGACAACUGGAAGGAUUUCCAAGGAAAGAAAGAAUGACAGAACCUGUAGAUGAAGACAUACCCACAUAUUAAUGAGAGAAAAUCUGACCAGCAGGUAAGAAUAAGGCUUCUCACCAGAAACGAGAGCUGGGCUGCAGGACAGAUCAUGCAAUCACAGAAUAUCCUGAGUUGGAAGAGACCCACAAGGAUCACUGAGACCACCAACACCAUACUUGUCAUUAGCCUCAGAAGCAAAGAAUGGAGUUGA